CACACUGACAAGAGGACAGGAAGGGAUGAAGAAUGUGUAGAUGCAUAAAGCAGCAGCCUGCCUCAUCCCCUGUGACAGGUUUACUCAUGACUAGCACAAGGACACUGGCAAUCUCAUGAGCACGAUGGAGACAAGUGGCAGAACCUGUACAGAGAGGGCAUCUAUAAUGAGAUCCAAACAGAGUACCUGUCUACCUCCUUCGCAGGGAUGUCCUUCGCUCAGGACAGCAAGCUGUGCUUCCUGAAGCUUGGACUGUUGUUGAUUGGGAUUGAGUACCAGAGUAGUGACCAGGAGUUAAG